UACGUAGGAGGCAAGCGUUGUCCGGAAUUACUGGGCGUAAAGCGCGUGUAGGUGGUGGGACAAGUCUGCUGUGAAAGCGCCUGGCUUAACCGGGCGAGGUCGGCGGAAACUGUCCGACUCGAGGACGGUAGAGGGGGGUGGAAUUCCCGGUGCAGUGGUGAAAUGCGUAGAGAUCGGGAGGAACACCUGUGGCGAAGGCGGCCCCCUGGGCCGGCCCUGACACUGAGACGCGAAGGCGUGGGGAGCGAACGGG
rnacentral:rRNA from 1 species